rnacentral:rRNA from 1 species
UACGGGGGGGCAAGCGUUGUUCGGAUUUACUGGGCGUAAAGGGCGCGUAGGCGGCCACUGCAAGUCAGUUGUGAAAUCUCCGGGCUUAACCCGGAAAGGUCAACUGAUACUGCAGGGCUAGAGUGCAGAAGGGGCAACUGGAAUUCUCGGUGUAGCGGUGAAAUGCGUAGAUAUCGAGAGGAACACCUGCGGCGAAGGCGGGUUGCUGGGCUGACACUGACGCUGAGGCGCGAAGGCGUGGGGAGCGAACGGG